UACGUAGGCAGCAAGCGUUGUUCGGAUUUACUGGGCGUAAAGGGCGCGUAGGCGGCAAUUCAAGUCAGCUGUGAAAUCUCCGGGCUUAACUCGGAACGGUCAGCUGAUACUGCUUUGCUAGAGUGCAGAAGGGGCAAUCGGAAUUCUUGGUGUAGCGGUGAAAUGCGUAGAUAUCAAGAGGAACACCUGAGGUGAAGACGGGUUGCUGGGCUGACACUGACGCUGAGGCGCGAAAGCUAGGGUAGCAAACGGG
rnacentral:rRNA from 1 species